UACGGAAGGGGCAAGCGUUGUUCGGAAUCAUUGGGCGUAAAGGGCGCGUAGGUGGUUCUGUAUGUCUACCGUGAAAGCGUACGGCUCAACUGUAUUUUGUCGGUAGAAACUGCAGGACUUGAGGCUGGGAGGGGCUGGUGGAAUUCCCUGUGUAGCGGUGAAAUGCGUAGAGAUGGGGGAGAACACUCGUGGCGAAGGCGGCAUCCUGGACCAACACUGACACUGAGGAGCGAAAGCCAGGGGAGCAAACGGG
rnacentral:rRNA from 1 species